CCUACGGGAGGCAGCAGUGGGGAAUAUUGCACAAUGGGGGAAACCCUGAUGCAGCGACGCCGCGUGAGCGAUGAAGGAUUUCGGUAUGUAAAGCUCUAUCAGCAGGGACGAAAAUGACGGUACCUGACUAAGAAGCCCCGGCUAACUACGUGCCAGCAGCCGCGGUAAUACGUAGGGGGCAAGCGUUAUCCGGAUUUACUGGGUGUAAAGGGAGCGUAGACGGUCUGGCAAGCCAGAAGUGAAAGUCAGGGGCUCAACCCCGGGACUGCAUUUGAAACUGUUAUGCUUGAGUGUAGGAGAGGCAGGCGGAAUUCCUAGUGUAGCGGUGAAAUGCGUAGAUAUUAGGAGGAACACCAGUGGCGAAGGCGGCCUUCUGGUCGAUGACUGACGUUGAGGUUCGAAAGCGUGGGUAGCAAACAGGAUUAGAUACCCGGGUAGUC
rnacentral:rRNA from 1 species